AUGGAUGCUGUAUCCUGGUGCUAUUCACUCCCUGCAAAUUCAGCAGAGGCAGAACCACACAGAGCCCUGCUUGGUGACGGAGAACAGACGGAAAGCCACAAAGAGAAACACAAAGAAGCAGGACGGUGGUCACCCGGCGGGGCAGCACGCUGGGAGAUGCCACCACCCAACCAAGAAAAUAAAAACUUCACACCUUCACAUAACAGAACAAAAGUCCAGGCGCUCGGGCUCCCUGGGGUCACAGGGCGCAGACCCCGUCAAGGACACACGGGGAGGAGCAGCGCGGUGGGAGCCAGCGCAGGGCAGCACCUGCUCCACAGCGACAAGGACACGGAAGGCACGAGGUGGAACCUGGUCCUGAGCUGGGCGGGGUCGCCCUGCGGGGAGGUGGGCAGGCGGCCCCUCCCAGGGCAGGAGGGACAGAACCCGGGGCUGCGCUCAGCCCGGCUCCCUCCUCAGGGCGGACGCGCCCCUCCUCCCGGGCCUCCUUCUCAGCAAAGAGGAGCCGCUCCGAGCUCCCGCUCCGCCCCGUAUAGACGCUCCUUUCACAGACCCUCUCACCAGCAGGGACCCCCGGGAGCCCGCCCCACGUGUGACCUUCACAGACUCACUCAGCGCGCAGCACACUCAGCUCCACCCACUCCAUGCACGAUGCCGCGCCGACCCCCAGGAAGCAGCCCCAGGGCCGCCCCACGCCCCCAGCACACCCGCAGGGGCAUCUCCCCACCCUGCUCUGUGGCUCCUCUCAGCAUCUGCAGCUCCUCCCGCCCUGAGUCUGGGGCUGGAGUCACCGCAGGGGGACAUCCCGCUGCUCCCUCCGUCCCCUCCCACGCAGGCCCAGCUUUAGGCCAGCGUGUCCCCAGCCCAGGACACGCACCUGCUCCCAGCACCGUGGGACUUUCAAAUGGGACCGAGACCCCCGUCCCAGUGUGUGAACGGGAACCGCAGAGUCACUGCUCCCCUGCGUCAAGCACAAAGCAGGGGAGGGAAACUCCGGGGCACUUUAUGGUUUAA
rnacentral:lncRNA from 1 species